UACGUAGGGUGCAAGCGUUAAUCGGAAUUACUGGGCGUAAAGCGUGCGCAGGCGGUUAUGUAAGACAGGUGUGAAAUCCCCGGGCUUAACCUGGGAACUGCAUUUGUGACUGCAUAGCUAGAGUACGGUAGAGGGGGAUGGAAUUCCGCGUGUAGCAGUGAAAUGCGUAGAUAUGCGGAGGAACACCGAUGGCGAAGGCAAUCCCCUGGACCUGUACUGACGCUCAUGACA
rnacentral:rRNA from 1 species